AGUGAACGCUGGCGGUAGGCCUAACACAUGCAAGUCGAACGGCAGCACAGUAAGAGCUUGCUCUUACGGGUGGCGAGUGGCGGACGGGUGAGGAAUACAUCGGAAUCUACUUUUUCGUGGGGGUUAACGUAGGGAAACUUACGCUAAUACCGCAUACGACCUACGGGUGAAAGCAGGGGAUCUUCGGACCUUGCGCGAUUGAAUGAGCCGAUGUCGGAUUAGCUAGUUGGCGGGGUAAAGGCCCACCAAGGCGACGAUCCGUAGCUGGUCUGAGAGGAUGAUCAGCCGCACUGGAACUGAGACACGGUCCAGACUCCUACGGGAGGCAGCAGUGGGGAAUAUUGGACAAUGGGCGCAAGCCUGAUCCAGCCAUACCGCGUGGGUGAAGAAGGCCUUCGGGUUGUAAAGCCCUUUUGUUGGGAAAGAAAAGCAGCAGGUUAAUACCCCGCUGUUCUGACGGUACCCAAAGAAUAAGCACCGGCUAACUUCGUG
rnacentral:rRNA from 1 species